GGGGCUGUAGCUCAGUGGGCACAGCUCCUGCUUUGCAUGCAGGAGACUCUUGGUUUAAACACUGGCAAUUCUA